UACGGAGGGUGCAAGCGUUAAUCGGAAUGACUGGGCGUAAAGCGCACGCAGGCGGUUUGUUAAGCCAGAUGUGAAAGCCCCGAGCUCAACUUGGGAACUGCAUUUGGAACUGGCAAGCUAGAGUCUUGGAGAGGGGGGUAGAAUUUCCGGUGUAGCGGUGAAAUGCGUAGAGAUCGGAAGGAAUACCAGUGGCGAAGGCGGCCCCCUGGCCAAAGACUGACGCUCAGGUACGAAAGCAUGGGUAGCAAAAGGG
rnacentral:misc_RNA from 1 species